UACGUAGGGUCCGAGCGUUGUCCGGAGUUACUGGGCGUAAAGCGCGCGCAGGUGGUUCACUAAGCCCGGCGUGAAAGCCCCCGGCUCAACCGGGGAGGGUCGUCGGGGACUGGUGAACUUGAGGGCGGCAGGGGCUGGUGGAAUCCCCGGUGUAGUGGUGGAAUGCGUAGAGAUCCGGAGGAACACCAGCGGCGAAGGCGGCAUCCUGGACUGGUCCUGACACUCAUGAGCGAAAGCGUGGGGAGCGAUCCGG
rnacentral:rRNA from 1 species